rnacentral:rRNA from 1 species
UACGUAGGGGGCAAGCGUUAUCCGGAUUUACUGGGUGUAAAGGGAGCGUAGACGGCGAUGCAAGCCAGAUGUGAAAGCCCGGGGCUCAACUCCGGGACUGCAUUUGGAACUGUAUAGCUAGAGUGUCGGAGAGGCAGGCGGAAUUCCUAGUGUAGCGGUGAAAUGCGUAGAUAUUAGGAGGAACACCAGUGGCGAAGGCGGCCUGCUGGACGAUGACUGACGUUGAGGCUCGAAAGCGUGGGGAGCAAACAGG